rnacentral:rRNA from 1 species
AUUGAACGCUGGCGGCAGGCCUAACACAUGCAAGUCGAGCGGUAGAGAGAAGCUUGCUUCUCUUGAGAGCGGCGGACGGGUGAGUAAUGCCUAGGAAUCUGCCUGGUAGUGGGGGAUAACGUUCGGAAACGGACGCUAAUACCGCAUACGUCCUACGGGAGAAAGCCGGGGACCUUCGGGCCUUGCGCUAUCAGAUGAGCCUAGGUCGGAUUAGCUAGUUGGUGGGGUAAUGGCUCACCAAGGCGACGAUCCGUAACUGGUCUGAGAGGAUGAUCAGUCACACUGGAACUGAGACACGGUCCAGACUCCUACGGGAGGCAGCAGUGGGGAAUAUUGGACAAAGGGCGAAAGCCUGAUCCAGCCAUGCCGCGUGUGUGAAGAAGGUCUUCGGAUUGUAAAGCACUUUAAGUUGGGAGGAAGGGCAGUAAAUUAAUACGUUGCUGUUUUGACGUUACCGACAGAAUAAGCACCGGCUAACUCUGUG